rnacentral:rRNA from 1 species
GACAAACGCUGGCGGCAUGCCUAACACAUGCAAGUCGAACGGACAGAACAGGGAAGCUUUUCGGAGUGGAACUGGAAAGUUAGUGGCGGAUGGGUGAGUAACGCGUGGACAACCUACCUUGUAAAGGGGAAUAACCUCGAGAAAUCGAAGCUAAUACCCCAUAAUAACCUUGCUUCGCAUGAAGUAAGGAGGAAAGGCGGCCUUAGCGCUGUCGGUACAAGAUGGGUCCGCGUCUGAUUAGCUAGUUGGUGAGGUAAAGGCUCACCAAGGCGACGAUCAGUAGCCGGCCUGAGAGGGUGAACGGCCACAUUGGGACUGAGACACGGCCCAAACUCCUACGGGAGGCAGCAGUGGGGAAUCUUCCGCAAUGGGCGAAAGCCUGACGGAGCAAUGCCGCGUGAGUGAAGAAGGCCUUCGGGUUGUAAAACUCUGUCCUUAUCGAAGAGAGAGUGUUGUAGUAACUGACAAUACUAGGACGGUAGAUGAGGAAGAAGCCCCGGCUAACUAUGUG